UUCCUACCCCGGAGGCUUGAAAAUGGGGGGGGUUGAACGAGAUUUGGAAUCCUGGUUUUCCCCCCGGUAAACAAAGAAUGCCCGCUUGUUUCCCCCCCUGGGCAGGGGGCCCAAGGGAAAACCAUAAGGCAUCCCCCCCGGGGGGUAGCCCGGCCACGUGAAAACCAAAAGAAAUGACGGGGGCCCCACCAUCGGAGGAACAAGAGGUUAAUUUGAUGAUACGCGAGGAACCUUACCCGGGCUGGAAUGCCAGAGGAAAGAUCCAGAGAUGGGGAUGCCCUUCGGGGCCUCUGUGAAGGUGCUGCAUGGUUGUCGUCAGCUCGUGCCGUGAGGUGUCGGCUUAAGUGCCAUAAAGAGAGCAACCCCUCUCUUCAGUUGCCAUCAGGUCAUGCUGGGCACUCUGGAGACACUGCCACCGUAAGGUGUGAGGAAGGUGGGGAGGACGUCAAAUCAGCACGGCCCUUACGUCCGGGGGUACACACGUGUUACAAUGGCCGGUACAGAGGGACGGUGGCCCGCAAGGUCCAUCCAAUCUUGAAAGCCGGUCCCAGUUCGGACUGGGGUGUGCAACCCGACCCCACGAAGCUGGAUUCGCUAGUAAUCGCGCAUCAGCCAUGGCGCGGUGAAUACGUUCCCGGGCCUUGCACACACCGCCCGUCAAG
rnacentral:rRNA from 1 species